UACGAAGGUCCCGAGCGUUGUUCGGAAUCACUGGGCGUAAAGGGAGCGUAGGCGGCGCGGUAAGUCAGAUGUGAAAUCCCGGGGCUCAACCCCGGAACUGCAUCCGAUACUGCCGUGCUAGAGGAUUGGAGAGGUAGCUGGAAUUCUUGGUGUAGCAGUGAAAUGCGUAGAGAUCAAGAGGAACACUCGUGGCGAAAGCGAGCUACUGGACAAUUCCUGACGCUGAGGCUCGAAGGUCAGGGGAGCAAACGGG
rnacentral:rRNA from 1 species